GGAAAUGUGAGCAAACACGGGGCUGGAUGUGCGUGUCCCCCCAGAUGACUUAGAACAGUGCUGUUUGUGGAAGGAGCAGCGGCCGCACGGCGGCACAGAGCAUGAAUCUGGAUCCUGAAAUCCGAGACUCCUGCAGGCCAGCAUGAUGGCUCUCGCAUUCGUAGUCCUGUGUCUGGGACAUGGCAGCCUUUUCCUGAGGACCCAGGUGGACGGAUGUCAGCAGAACCUCCGCCAAGAUGCUGACUAGGAUGGGUAAGAGCAGACACAGUUGCCUCAUUCCUGACCUCAGGGGAAGCAGCCAGUGUAUCAUUAUUAAGUAUGAUGUUGGACUUCCCUGGUGGCGCAGUGAUUAAGAAUCUGCCUGCCAAUGCAGAGGACACGGGUUCUAGCCCUGGUCCAGAAAGAU